UACGUAGGGUGCGAGCGUUGUCCGGAAUUAUUGGGCGUAAAGGGCUCGUAGGCGGUCCAUCGCGUCGGGAGUGAAAAGCUGGGGCUUAACCCCAGUCCUGCUUUCGAUACGGGUGGACUAGAGGUAGGCAGGGGAGAAUGGAAUUCCUGGUGUAGCGGUGAAAUGCGCAGAUAUCAGGAGGAACACCGGUGGCGAAGGCGGCAUCCUGGACCACGACUGACGCUGAGUGAGCGAAAGCCAGGGGAGCAAACGGG
rnacentral:rRNA from 1 species